GACGAACGCUGGCGGCGUGCUUAACACAUGCAAGUCGAACGGAAAGGCCCUGCUUUUGUGGGGUGCUCGAGUGGCGAACGGGUGAGUAACCCGUGAGUAACCUGCCCUUGACUUUGGGAUAACUUCAGGAAACUGGGGCUAAUACCGGAUAGGAGCUCCUGCUGCAUGGUGGGGGUUGGAAAGUUUCGGCGGUUGGGGAUGGACUCGCGGCUUAUCAGCUUGUUGGUGGGGUAGUGGCUUACCAAGGCUUUGACGGGUAGCCGGCCUGAGAGGGUGACCGGCCACAAUGGGACUGAGAUACGGCCCAGACUCCUACGGGAGGCAGCAGUGGGGAAUAUUGCACAAUGGGCGGAAGCCUGAUGCAGCAACGCCGCGUGCGGGAUGACGGCCUUCGGGUUGUAAACCGCUUUCGCCUGUGACGAAGCGUGAGUGACGGUAAUAGGUAAAGAAGCACCGGCUAACUACGUG
rnacentral:rRNA from 1 species